rfam:Gossypium hirsutum cultivar TM-1 chromosome 20, whole genome shotgun sequence
AAUCUAUGAUGAGGACAUUACAAAGUAACUGCUUGAAUUGCUCCCAAGCCUCAUACAAAGACUCAUAAUCCAAUUGUUCGAAAGUUGUGAACUUGUACCUUAACUU